rnacentral:rRNA from 1 species
AUUGAACGCUGGCGGCAGGCCUAACACAUGCAAGUCGGGCGAGAGGCGGACGGGUGAGUAAUGUAUGGGGAUCUGCCUGAUGGCGGGGGAUAACUACUGGAAACGGUAGCUAAUACCGCAUACCAUCAGAUGAACCCAAAUGGGAUUAGCUAGUAGGUGGGGUAAAGGCUCACCUAGGCGACGAACUCUAGCUGGUCUGAGAGGAUGAUCAGCCACACUGGGACUUAGACACGGCCCAGACUCCUACGGGAGGCAGCAGUGGGGAAUAUUGCACAAUGGGCGCAAGCCUGAUGCAGCCAUGCCGCGUGUAUGAAGAAGGCCUUAGGGUUGUAAAGUACUUUCAGCGGGGAGGCGUUACCCGCAGAAUAAGCACCGGCUAACUCCGUGCCAGCAGCCGCGGUAAUAC